rnacentral:rRNA from 1 species
AUGGCCGCGCCAUGGCGCGUGCCGGCCAUCCCCCGGUCCCCUUGGAGUAUAAGGCCGAGCCCUCCGACCCACCUGACGAACCCUAGCCUCAAAAUCCCCUCUCCCUCGCUCGUUUUCCUCUCCUCGCAACACAACCGAGCGCAACGUCGCCGCCAUCGCGUCGAUCCCGCGGCCACGUGCCUCCCCGCGCCGAACCACCAUGUCCAGGAAGCGCGCCGUCAUCACCUUCGUCGACUACACCAACAGAUCGGGGCGUAG